UACGGGGGGGGCAAGCGUUGUUCGGAAUUACUGGGCGUAAAGGGCGCGUAGGCGGUUUGCUAAGUUGAAUGUGAAAACUCUGGGCUUAACCCAGAGCCUGCAUUCAAUACUGGUAGGCUAGAGUUCUGGAGGGGAUAGCGGAAUUCCUGGUGUAGCGGUGAAAUGCGUAGAUAUCAGGAGGAACACCGGUGGCGAAGGCGGCUAUCUGGACAGAGUCUGACGCUGAGGCGCGAAAGCUAGGGGAGCAAACAGG
rnacentral:rRNA from 1 species